CGCUGACAGAAUGCUUAACACAUGCAAGUCAUUGGCGAAGCUGCGUUUGCGCAGUCUAGCCAAGGCGGACGGGUGAGUAACGCGUAAGGAACUUGCCCUGCAGACAGGGAUAACAGACGGAAACGACUGAUAACACCUGGUAUUGUCAGGCUGGCGCAUGCCGGCCUGAUGAAAGGAGACGCUGCAGGAGAGCCUUGCGUCCUAUUAGCUAGUUGGUGGGGUAACGGCCCACCAAGGCGAUGAUAGGUAGCCGGCCUGAGAGGGUGAACGGCCACAAGGGGACUGAGAUACGGCCCUUACUCCUACGGGAGGCAGCAGUGGGGAAUAUUGGACAAUGGGGGCAACCCUGAUCCAGCAAUUCUGUGUGCACGAAGAAGGUUUUCGGAUUGUAAAGUGCUUUCAGCAGGGAAGAAGAAAGUGACGGUACCUGCAGAAGAAGCGACGGCUAAAUACGUGCCAGCAGCCGCGGUAAUACGUAUGUCGCAAGCGUUAUCCGGAAUUAUUGGGCAUAAAGGGCAUCUAGGCGGCCCUGUAAGUCUAGGGUGAAAACCUGCGGCUCAACCGCAGGCCUGCCCCGGAAACCACAGGGCUAGAGUAUCGGAGAGGUGGACGGAACUGCACGAGUAGAGGUGAAAUUCGUAGAUAUGUGCAGGAAUGCCGAUGAUGAAGAUAGUUCACUGGACGGUAACUGACGCUGAAGUGCGAAAGCUAGGGGAGCAAACAGGAUUAGAUACCCUGGUAGUUCUAGCUGUAAACGAUGAUUACUGGGUGUGGGCAUGAAGAGUGUCCGUGCCGAAGCAAAUGCGAUAAGUAAUC
rnacentral:rRNA from 1 species